rnacentral:rRNA from 1 species
AUGGCCAUACCAUGCUGAAUAUACCGGUUCUCGUUAGAUCACCGAAGUCAAGCAUCACUGGGCGCGGUCAGUAUUUGGGUGGGUGACCACCUGGGAACACCGCGUGCCGUUA